ACGGAGGGGGCUAGCGUUGUUCGGAAUUACUGGGCGUAAAGCGCACGUAGGCGGCUUUGCAAGUUAGAGGUGAAAGCCCGGAGCUCAACUCCGGAAUUGCCUUUAAAACUGCAUCGCUAGAAUUGUGGAGAGGUGAGUGGAAUUCCGAGCGUAGAGGUGAAAUUCGUAGAUAUUCGGAAGAACACCAGUGGCGAAGGCGGUCUGCUGGGCGGUGAGCUCGCGAGAGCUCAAUAGCCGACACUGAGGCGCGACAGCGUGGGGAGCAAACAGGA
rnacentral:rRNA from 1 species